GCCCCCCAACUUUAUAACGAGUUCUCGUGGCUCUAAUUUCUCCCCAGUUCCCUAUUUAUCGCACUUACUCCUCCAGAUUAGCCAGGCCAGGCCCGGGUAGGUGCCAGCUGAUCUCACACUGCCCUCCUCUUCACCAGGUUUAGACGCGCCCGUCUGCUGGGACUUCAGUUCUUUGCAGAAGGUCCUCCUGAAAAGCAGAGGCAGAAACGUCAAAUCCAUCAGACCCUAUGGAGAGGGAAGCCUGGACCCCACGACCAGUGAGAGCAUGGACUUGGACGUCGCUGAUUGCACAUGUCCUUUUCCAACACGUGCCCGGUGCCGGGCCCUCUUCUAGGAACGCGGGUCCUCCCGUGAGCAAACGAGACAGAAACGUCUGCCUUUGUGGAGCUUAGGUUACAGGGAAAGGAAACUGAAUAGGGGACAAGCAAGUGAAGUACAGCCGUAGGUCAGAUGGUAAUAAAUGCUGAGGGUAAAUAAGUGGAAUGGAGAAGAGAGAUUGAGGAGGACAACCGUGGGGUGUGGGGUUGGUUUCUACCUUCCACUUUGUCUCCUAAUAGUAAACCCAGGGCUGGGAGCAGCAGCGGAGAGAGAAAACGUGGUCGUCAUGCUCGGAACUGGGGAGUCGCCAUUCAUUUUGGAACGAUGUCCUCGGGACCCACGUACUUUCAGGGUCAUUUGUGAGAAGCUUCCCCCUCCCUCACCUGGCAAAUUCCAGAGGUUUGAACAUCUGUUCUGCUGACCAACCACAGAUGAUGAAGACUGUCAGUAAUAAUAUACUUAUUGGACUGAAAAAAAUCUGCUUCUGAAGACUGGGUUUCCAGGUCUUUCCUGAAAAGUCUGGAAAGCAGCAGGAGCACCAGAAGCCAGACCUCAGCAGGUUGAGGGGUCUCCACUUCCAGGAGCCCUCCGGAAGGUACGCCUAGAAGACACCCUCUUCCUUCAUUCCUCACAAGAAAUGUCUUGCUAUCCCCGUUUUUCCCAGGAGGGGGCAGCACAACCUCAGAAGAAGCAGACCUGCCAGAAGUGAAUUUGCCAUUUGGUGGCGCCAUAGCAGCCAAAAUGAGGUCAAGAUAUUUAAGGGGUGGGUGGGGUGCUCACAAUAUGAUUGUGUUCUAUUUCUGUGUUUCCACCAAUUUUUGACAAUUCAGGGCUCUGUUGUAGUCUGUGUGUUGCCACUUAACCUUUAGCACUGUGAUGCCCCCAGACUGAGCCAUGCCCUCACAUGCAGCGUGGUAUUUGUCCUUGCAUCAGGCAGGGUGCCCGGUGCAUCUGUCUAUCACCUUCACCUGUGGAUGUGGAUUUGCUCAGCCUACUUGGAACACAUGAACACAUGACAUAUUGGUGUUUUUGUAGCAGAAAGAGCGCCAGACAGGAGGUUGAACUACACCAGUUAGAAUUCUGUUUCCCUUGGUCAUUGAGCCAGGUGACUCCUGGGAAGUCACCAGACUCCUCCAAGCCUCAGUUUUCUCACCCGAAGACACAGGGUGACUGUGAGGAUCAGAAGAGACCAUCUAACAACCCAGUGAACUCUAAGUCACUGGAAUAUUUCAGGCUAGUCUACGGUGAGGUGGUAUAAUAUAUGGGGAAGAGAGUAAGGAGAAGAAAGAAUCUCAUUCCACCUAAAAGUUCUGUAAUUUUACAUUCUGACCUGGAAUCUGACUCUUGACUCUUCCUUACAGAGGUCAGAAGCGCCCCCAUCUGUGGCCAGCCCAGCCUCUCCUGACACCCCCAACCUGGUGCUAUAUUUCUUGAAAAUAGACAGGAUCCCUACCUGCCCCUGUCAACACAUCUCAGCCAAUCAGAGCCCCUUAGUACAGGGACGUCGGUGGUAAAGGUCUGAGUGCAGCAGGAUCAUGUCCAGAGUGGACCUUUGGCCAGAAGCAAGCCAGGGAGAUAAACACUGGCAGGGUGGAGACAACGUGUUUCCCAGAUGGCCACGGGUGUGCCUCUCCCACACCAGACCUCCACUGGUUAGAUGGCACUUUUAUGGUUCUCUUUAAAAGCCUGAGCUUGUCCAGAGCAGAACUCAAUUGUCCCUGCUCGCUCCUCUGCAUGUAGACACAGCGGAAUCCUCACCUGUCUUGUGUCUAAGAAGAAAUCUUCAUAGUCUUACUUAUUCCACAUAACACUGUACAGCAGUAGUAAUGACGGCUUGAUUUAUACAGUACUGCAUUAACUGUGUGCUUGGUGCUCUUCUGAGUGCUUGACAUCGAACUCACCUACCAUCAACAACCUGGGGAUAAGAGCUUGACGGUCAUUCUUAUUUUGUCAGAGAAGAAAGCAUGGCUCAGAGAGGCUUCGAGACUUCCCCACCAGAAGCACAUGACUGGGACCUAAACCCAGGAGAGGUGGGCCCAGCGUCGUUCUCCUUAACUAGCACCUAAUAUCAGCUCUACAGCAUGCUUUCACUUGCUCAGUCUGAGCUUGACAGCAAAACGGCAAGCAAGGUGAUGAAAGUCAAAAAAGAAAGUUACGCGAGAACUCAGAGAAGAGAAGGGGCAGGCCUGCCGCCGGCCCUGGCAGCGCAGUCGGCCCUAAAAUGGGAUAUUUUACUCAGUCAAUUUCAGCAAGUACAGCAAGUAAACAAAUCUGCCCAGCACUGUCCCAUGUGGCCAGAGCCUACAAGAAACAAAGUAGCAAGUCUAAAAUAAAUCAGAGGAGCUGCGGUU